rnacentral:rRNA from 1 species
AUUGAACGCUGGCGGCAUGCUUUACACAUGCAAGUCGAACGGUAACAGGCUUUCGGGUGCUGACGCGUGGCGAACGGGUGAGUAAUUCAUCGGUACGUACCCAGAGGUGGGGGAUAACGCAGCGAAAGCUGUGCUAAUACCGCACGUGAUCUGAGGUUGAACGCGGGGGACGGAGCAGCAAUGUUUGGCCUCGCGCGUUUGGAGCGGCGGAUGUCGGAUUAGCUAGUUGGGGGGGUAAUGGCCUACCAAGGGGACGAUCCGUAGCUGGUCUGAGAGGACGGCAGGCGACACGGGGACGGAAACACGGACCAGGGGCCUAAGAGAGGCAGCAGUGGGGAACUUUAGACAGUGGGGGCGAACAUUGUACAGCGAUGCCGCGCGUGAGAAAGCGGCCCUGGGGGUGGAAACCGCGUUUGGCAGGAACGAAACGGUGUCGGCUAAUACCAAGCGCUAAUGACGGUACCUGCAGAAGAAGCACCGGCUAACUACGUG